GAGGCUCUGUCUUUCUGAGGGUCAGAGCUCUCCCAGGGCAAGGACAUGGUGCCCAGGUCUCUGCUGACUGAGCACUGCCUUGGAAGCUGAAGAGCUCUGGAAGGCAGCAAGGACAGCAGUGGCCAGGGAGAAACAAGCCCAGGGAACAAAGGAAGGUGCACUGCAAACAUACUGGAGAAGGAGGAAUGGGCCAGACCAGGUCUCAGCCAGCCAGGGACCCCAGGUGAGGCCCAGCAUGGUGGAUCACAGGAUGCUAAAGACACCAGUGCAGAGAGGUUAUUCUGGAGGCCAGAAAGCCACCUUUUUUAAAAAACUGAACUUCUAUUUCCCAGCCACUGUGCUGAGCUACCAAGUGCUUGACUUGAGGCCCAGGCAAUCAAGGUCUUUCCAGUCCCCUUCCCAAUGAGCUAUCCCGGAAGUCAACUGGAAUGGAUUUUCCCAGCUCUUGAAAAGAGUUGUUUCAAGAACAGUCUCUUUUCCUGCCUCUUGAUACUGCAUCUUCAUAUAUCAUCUGGAAAUGCUAUAGUUGUCUUGGGAUCCAAAGGAGAACCCAUCCAAAAAAAUCAACUUAAUACCCUCAGGAUGGAAAAGUAAGCAUGGAAACAACCUAGUCCCUUGAUGCCACUGAAUCAACAGGACCCAGAACUAUUAUGUUCCCACACUUACUGGGAUGUGAAAGCAUGCAAUUUUAUUAUCAUUAAAGCUAUUUUUAGUUCAGCCUUCCA